GACGAACGCUGGCGGCGCGCUUAAUACAUGCAAGUCGAACGAGAAGCCAGAGCUUGCUCUGGUGGAAAGUGGCGAACGGGUGAGUAACACGUGAGAAACCUGCCCCAAAGAUUGGGAUAAGCCUUGGAAACGAGGUCUAAUACCAAAUACCUUCCUUUUAACACAUGUUAAAAAGAAGAAAUGCUCCGGCGCUUUGGGAUGGUCUCGCGAUCUAUCAGCUUGUUGGUGAGGUAACGGCUCACCAAGGCAUCGACGGAUAGCUGGUCUGAGAGGAUGUCCAGCCACAUUGGAACUGAGACACGGUCCAAACUCCUACGGGAGGCAGCAGUAGGGAAUCUUGCACAAUGAGGGAAACCUUGAUGCAGCGACGCCGCGUGCGGGACGAAGGCCCUAGGGUUGUAAACCGCUUUUCAGUAGGGACGAAAGUGACGGUACCUACAGAAGAAGCCCCGGCAACUAUGUGCCAGCAGCCGCGGUAAGCUCGUCUCUA
rnacentral:rRNA from 1 species